AGUUUAAGGAAAUAAUCUUAAAUGAAUUCUGCCCAGUGAUUUUUUUUUAAAUGGCCGCAGUACCUUGACUGUGCUAAGGUAGCAUAAUCAAUUGGCUUCUAAUUAAAGUCUGGAAUGAAAGGAAAUAUGAAGUAAUUCUAUCUUAAAGGAUUUUUUUUGAAUUUAUUUAAAUGAUGAAAAUAUCAUUUUAUAGAAAAAAGACGAGAAGACCCUUAGAGUUUUGAUAUUUAUAUAUUUUUGUUGGGGCGACAGGUAAACAUAUAACUUUACGAAUUAUCAUUGAUCGAUUUUUUAUAAGAAUAAUAAAACUACCUUAGGGAUAACAGCAUUAUAUUUUUUUUUAUGAUUGUGACCUCGAUGUUGGACUAGGAACUUUAUGGCUAGCCGUCAAAAAAGAUUUGUUCUGUUCGAACAAUUUUAUCCU
rnacentral:rRNA from 2 species